rnacentral:tmRNA from 1 species
GGGGAUGACAGGCUUUGACGGUUACGGUCCGUGCGAAUGGCGCGUGUCGAAGAUGGUGUUGUGCUUCGUAAAAACACACCAACCCUUAAUUGCAAAAGCAAUCAAGAGUCCUUACGCUCCAGCGUACGGAUACGCAUACGCUGCAUAGGUUGAGCCGUUAGGCUCCCUCGCACGUUGCGCGUUACGCUUCGUUCGUCAUAUCUCGAAGCAGUGGCGUUAUAUCGAUAUGACUCGGCAGGAGCACGGCGUUCUACGCGCUCCACUUAAAAAGCAAGAACUGCACUUCGCCUUCUCGUUCACUCUCUCGAAAGCGAAGUUAAGCCCCAAGAGUGUCCUACACACGUAGACACCCUCGCACACCAUAAUUCGGACGAGAGUUCAAUUCUCUCCAUCUCCACCA